CAGUCGCCGCGGUAAUACGUAGGGUGCAAGCGUUAAUCGGAAUUACUGGGCGUAAAGCGUGCGCAGGCGGUUAUAUAAGACAGUCGUGAAAUCCCCGGGCUCAACCUGGGAACUGCGAUUGUGACUGUAUGGCUAGAGUGUGUCAGAGGGGGGUAGAAUUCCACGUGUAGCAGUGAAAUGCGUAGAUAUGUGGAGGAAUACCGAUGGCGAAGGCAGCCCCCUGGGAUAACACUGACGCUCAUGCACGAAAGCGUGGGGAGCAAACAGGAUUAGAUACCCCCGUAGUCCCUGUCUCUUAUAC
rnacentral:rRNA from 1 species